rnacentral:rRNA from 1 species
UUAGGCGAACGGGUGAGUAACGCGUGAGUAACCUGCCCUGGAGUGGGGGGACGAACAGUUGGAAACGACUGCUAAUACCGCAUAAGCCCACGGCCCGGCAUCGGGCUGCGGGAAAAGGAUUUAUUCGCUUCAGGAUGGACUCGCGUCCAAUUAGCUAGUUGGUGAGGUAACGGCCCACCAAGGCGACGAUUGGUAGCCGGACUGAGAGGUUGAACGGCCACAUUGGGACUGAGACACGGCCCAG